AUACGGAGGGGGUUAGCGUUGUUCGGAAUUACUGGGCGUAAAGCGCACGUAGGCGGACUGGGAAGUUGGGGGUGAAAUCCCGGGGCUCAACCCCGGAACUGCCUCCAAAACUUCCAAUCUAGAGAUCGAGAGAGGUGAGUGGAAUUCCAAGUGUAGAGGUGAAAUUCGUAGAUAUUUGGAGGAACACCAGUGGCGAAGGCGGCUCACUGGCUCGAUACUGACGCUGAGGUGCGAAAGCGUGGGGAGCAAACAGGAUUAGAUACCCUAGUAGUCC
rnacentral:rRNA from 1 species